rnacentral:tRNA from 1 species
UCCAGGGUAGCCUAGUGGACAUGGCAUCUGCCCGGUAAGCGGAACAAUGUGGGUUCGAAUCCCAUCCCUGGAC